GGAGGAACGCGGGCGGGCUUUCCUAACCCAUCCAAGUUCGAGCGAGUAAAGAGAAAUGGCGGUUUUUCGGAACCAAAGCAUUUUGGAUUAGCGGCGGACGGGUGAGUAACCACGUGAGCAACCUCCCUUUCACAUCGGGAUAGCCUCGGGAAACUGGGAUUAAUUCCGAAUGAAACAUAUUGGUAACCUUAUCGAAAUGUUCAAAGAUUUAUCGGUGAUAGAUGGGCUCGCGUCUGAUUAGCUAGUUGGUGAGAUAAAAGCCCACCAAGGCAAUGAUCAGUAGCCGGCCUGAGAGGGUGAUCGGCCACAUUGGGACUGAGACACGGCCCAAACUCCUACGGGAGGCAGCAGUGGGGAAUAUUGCACAAUGGAGGGAACUCUGAUGCAGCGACGCCGCGUGAGCGAAGAAGGAAUUCGUUUCGUAAAGCUCUGUCCUAUGGGAAGAUAAUGACGGUACCAUAGAAGAAAGCCCCGGCUAACUACGUGCCAGCAGCCGCGGUAAUACGUAGGGGGCGAGCGUUGUCCGGAAUUAUUGGGCGUAAAGGGUUCGUAGGCGGUAAUACAUGUCAGAUGUGAAAUCUUGUGGCUUAACCACAUCAAGCAUCUGAAACUGUAUAACUUGAGUGGAGGAGAGGUAAGUGGAAUUCCUAGUGUAGCGGUGAAAUGCGUAGAUAUUAGGAAGAAUACCAGUAGCGAAGGCGACUUACUGGCCUCUAACUGACGCUGAUGAACGAAAGCGUGGGUAGCAAACAGGAUUAGAUACCCUGGUAGUCCACGCCGUAAACGAUGAGUGCUAGGUGUCGGGAGUCAAAUCUCGGUGCCGUAGUAACGCAAUAA
rnacentral:rRNA from 1 species